AACUUCGGGAAACCGGAGCUAAUACCGGAUAAUAUAUUGAACCGCAUGGUUCAAUAGUGAAAGACGGUUUUGCUGUCACUUAUAGAUGGAUCCGCGCCGCAUUAGCUAGUUGGUAAGGUAACGGCUUACCAAGGCAACGAUGCGUAGCCGACCUGAGAGGGUGAUCGGCCACACUGGAACUGAGACACGGUCCAGACUCCUACGGGAGGCAGCAGUAGGGAAUCUUCCGCAAUGGGCGAAAGCCUGACGGAGCAACGCCGCGUGAGUGAUGAAGGUCUUCGGAUCGUAAAACUCUGUUAUUAGGGAAGAACAAAUGUGUAAGUAACUAUGCACGUCUUGACGGUACCUAAUCAGAAAGCCACGGCUAACUACGUGCCAGCAGCCGCGGUAAUACGUAGGUGGCAAGCGUUAUCCGGAAUUAUUGGGCGUAAAGCGCGCGUAGGCGGUUUUUUAAGUCUGAUGUGAAAGCCCACGGCUCAACCGUGGAGGGUCAUUGGAAACUGGAAAACUUGAGUGCAGAAGAGGAAAGUGGAAUUCCAUGUGUAGCGG
rnacentral:rRNA from 1 species